UCCCUCUCCGCCGGCGAAGCGCCCUUCCAGCCCCGCCCUCCGCCCCAACGUUCCAUUCCCCCGAGGUCCACGUGGCUGUCACUUCGGAAGCUACGGUCGAAACCGGAGAGGUUAGCCGGGGCCAACCGGUUGGAGGGGGAAAGCACAAAUGCAGUCUCCCACUACCACAAAUUAUGCAGUCGAGUUUCCUGCAUUUGUGGAAAUCGCAGGGGUUAGCACUCCAGGAUUACAAUGGGGUGAGCCUCCCCCUGGGAAAAAGACCUUGGUGAUCCUGGUAUUUCCCCUACCAGGCUCCUACCACUUCAAUCCCCUGUGCCCUCUGGAACAAUGUCUAGCUCAGAUGUUGGCAGCAACAACCCACAAACCUUCACAGCACUGAGACCCAGGAGCCUUGGUUUUGAGGACAAAAGCUGAAGAUGUUGAGGCUCAGAGAAGUUCAGUGACUGGGCCAAGACCCCACAGCAAAUAAGUGAUGCAGCCAAGGUAUUAACCCAGGCCCUCGAUGCUGCCGUCCACACCCUCGCCCAUUGUGGUGAGGACCAUGAAGUAAAUUACAUCCGGGACUUUUCGCUUCCAUUCCAGCAUAUUUUAAAGAUGGGGACACAAAGUGCGCUACCCAGAGUGCCAGGCCCGGCCUUUUCUGCUCCUCCGCAGGCUCCGUAGGUCUUCCUCCUGGUACCGGAGGCGGCGGUGACAGACUGAAUUGGCCCUGACGCCUUUCCCAGGAGGUUGACGCUCAACUGCUGAGCCACCCCGGCCCCA